UAAGUCUGAUGGAGCACGCCGCGUGAGUGAAGAAGGGUUUCGGCUCGUAAAACUCUGUUGUUAGAGAAGAACAGCCGUGAGAGCAACUGCUCACGGUAUGACGGUAUCUAACCAGAAAGUCACGGCUAACUACGUGCCAGCAGCCGCGGUAAUACGUAGGUGGCAAACGUUGUCCGGAUUUAUUGGGCGUAAAGGGAGCGCAGGCGGUUUAUUAAGUCUGAUGUGAAAGCCUUCGGCUUAACCGGAGAAGUGCAUCGGAAACUGAUAAACUUGAGUGCAGAAAAGGAUAGUGGAACUUCAUGUGUAGCGGUGAAAUGCGUAGAUAUAUGAAGGAACACCAGUGGCGAAGGCGGCUAUCUGGUCUGUAACUGACGCUGAGGCUCGAAAGCAUGGGUAGCAAACAGGAUUAGAUACCCUGGUAGUCCAUGCCGUAAACGAUGAAUGCUAGGUGUUGGAAGGUUUCCGCCUUUCAGUGCCGCAGCUAACGCAUUAAGCAUUCCGCCUGGGGAGUACGACCGCAAGGUUGAAACUCAAAGGAAUUGACGGGGACCCGCACAAGCGGUGGAGCAUGUGGUUUAAUUCGAUGCUACGCGAAGAACCUUACCAGGACUUGACAUCUUCUGCCAAUCUAAGAGAUUAGACGUUCCCUUCGGGGACAGAAUGACAGGUGGUGCAUGGUUGUCGUCAGCUCGUGUCGUGAGAUGUUGGGUUAAGUCCCGCAACGAGCGCAACCCUUGUCUUUAGUUGCCAGCAUUAAGUUGGGCACUCUAGAGAGACUGCCCGGUGAUAAACCGGAGGAAGGUGGGGAUGACGUCAAAUCAUCAUGCCCCUUAUGUCCUGGGCUACACACGUGCUACAAUGGGCGAUACAACGAGUUGCGAAACCGCGAGGUCAAGCUAAUCUCUUAAGG
rnacentral:rRNA from 2 species